CCCUUAGAUGUCCUGGGCCGCACGCGUGCUACACUGAUGCAUACAGCGAGUACUCCCAGCUCCGAGAGGCUGCUGGUAAUCAGCAAUAUGCAUCGUGAUGGGGAUAGAUCUUUGGAAUUAUAGAUCUUGAACGAGGAAUUCCUAGUAAUCGCAGGUCAUCACCCUGCGUUGACUAAGUCCCUGCCCUUUGUACACACCGCCCGUCGUUCCUACCGAUUUCGAGUGAUCCGGUGAAUCAUUCGGACCGCGGCCCCUAGGCAUGCGGAAAGUCUAGUAAACCAUAUCACUUAGAGGAAGGAGAAGUCGUAACA
rnacentral:rRNA from 1 species